GGUUCCUUCGGGGUCAUCCGAUAAAAUUGAAACGAUACAAAGAAGAUUACCAUGGUUCCUACCCAAGGAUAACACGCAUAAAUAAAAAAAUGGUCCAAAUCUAA
rfam:Arabidopsis thaliana chromosome 1, complete sequence.